GUGCCAGCAGCCGCGGUAAUACAGAGGUCCCGAGCGUUGUUCGGAUUCACUGGGCGUAAAGGGUGCGUAGGUGGCUACUGAAAGUUUGAUGUGAAAUCUCCGGGCUCAACCCGGAAAAGGCAUUGAAUACUGCGGAGCUGGAGGUUUGGAGGGGGGACUGGAAUUCUCGGUGUAGCAGUGAAAUGCGUAGAUAUCGAGAGGAACACCAGUGGCGAAGGCGAGUCCCUGGACAACACCUGACACUGAGGCACGAAAGCCGGGGGAGCAAACAGGAUUAGAUACCCUAGUAGUCC
rnacentral:rRNA from 1 species